rnacentral:lncRNA from 1 species
AGAAACCUUUGAGUGAUAGCCUUGGGGGAUGUUUGAAAAAAAUGUUUUUUUUUUUUUUCUAUUUGAGCAGAACUCAAGAAAGUCUAUGUGGCAUGAGGGCUGAAGGGCUGUGGUCAUGGAGGAGAACACUGCUUCAGAAUAAAAGCUAUUACUUUAAUAAGAUCCUCCCAUCCCUCAUAAGGGCUCCCUUCACAUGGUAUAAGCAACAUACCCAAGAAUUUAAAAAUCUUUACCCAGCAGUGGAGUGGCCUUCAGCCUUGACCUGCAUCAAAAUCACCAUGAAGCUUUCUAUUAUUUUUUUAUUAUUUAUUGUUAUUGUUUUUUUUUUUUUCUCUUUUCUAGGGCUGCACCCUUGGCAUAUGGAGGUUCUCAGGCUAGGGGUCUAAUUGGAGCUGUUGCCGCCGGCCUUUGCCAGAGCCACAGCAAUGCCAGAUCCAAGCCAUGUCCGUGACCUACACCACAGCUCAUGGCAAUGCCAGAUCCUUAACCCACUGAACAAGGCCAGGGAUUGAACCUGCAACCUCAUGGGUCCUAGUCAGAUUCGUUAACCACUGAGCCAUAACAGGAACUCCUCAUGGAGUUUUUUAAAAAUGCAGAAGCCCAGGAGUUCCCUGGUGGCUCAGCAGGUUAAGGAUCUAGUGUUGUUACUACUGUGGCUCAAGUCACUGCUAUGGCACAGGUUUGAUCCUUGGCCUCUGAACUUCUGCAUGCUGCAGGACCAUCCAAAAAUCAAAACAAAACAAAACAAAGCAGAAACCUAGGCCCUGCCUCCAAAGUUCUGGUUUAAUCAAUCUUAGAAGCCACGCUUUUCUAUCUGUUUUUCAGUUUCCCAAGUCAUUCUGAUGUGUAGCUGAUUUGAAAUCACUAUUCUGUAACAUAAAAGUUUUAUGUGGAUAUCUGAUGUAUUUAUCAGUCUCCCUUCUAGUUAGGUUUGACUAUAUGUCUAAGUUCUGGUCAUGGGCUGUGAGCCAAAGGGUUAUAAAUGCAACUUCUCAGGUGUGCUCUUAAAGAAGCAUGACUUCCUCUUCUUUCUUCCCUUCUUGCUGGCUAGAAUAUGGAAUAUGGUAAUGCAAAUGUAAAUAGCCAUCUUAGACCAAGAUGACAGCCAUGGACCGAGAAUGGCAGAGCCACAAGAGAGAAGGAGCCUGGCCCCCAUCACCACAUGGCUGGAAUAUCAGCCCUAGACUGCUUACCUUUAAAUCAUGUGAGAGGAGUAAGAUUCAACCUUCCUUAAGGCACUGUUGUUUUCUUCUGGCGUUUGUUACAGCAGCCUAAUAUUUACACAACCUAAUUUAUA